CAUGUCUAAGUAUAAGCAAUUAUACGGCGAAACUGCGAAUGGCUCAUUAUAUAAGUUAUCGUUUAUUUGAUAAUACUUUACUACUUGGAUAACCGUGGUAAUUCUAGAGCUAAUACAUGCUAAAAAUCCCGACUUCGGAAGGGUUGUAUUUAUUAGAUUAAAAACCAAUGCCCUCUGGGCUCUCUGGUGAAUCAUAAUAACUUGUCGAAUCGCAAGGCCUUGUGCCGGCGAUGGCUCAUUCAAAUUUCUUCCCUAUCAACUUUCGAUGUUUGGGUAUUGGCCAAACAUGGUGGCAACGGGUAACGGAGGGUUAGGGCUCGACCCCGGAGAAGGAGCCUGAGAAACGGCUACUACAUCCAAGGAAGGCAGCAGGCGCGCAAAUUACCCAAUCCCGACACGGGGAGGUAGUGACAAUAAAUACUGAUACAGGGCUCUUAUGGGUCUUGUAAUCGGAAUGAGUACAAUUUAAAUCCCUUAACGAGGAACAAUUGGAGGGCAAGUCUGGUGCCAGCAGCCGCGGUAAUUCCAGCUCCAAUAGCGUAUAUUAAAGUUGUUGUGGUUAAAAAGCUCGUAGUUGAACCUUGGGCCUGGCUGGCCGGUCCGCCUCACCGCGUGCACUGGUCCGGCCGGGCCUUUCCCUCUGUGGAACCUCAUGCCCUUCACUGGGUGUGACGGGGAAACAGGACUUUUACUUUGAAAAAAUUAGAGUGCUCCAGGCAGGCCUAUGCUCGAAUACAUUAGCAUGGAAUAAUAAAAUAGGACGUGUGGUUCUAUUUUGUUGGUUUCUAGGACCGCCGUAAUGAUUAAUAGGGACAGUCGGGGGCAUCAGUAUUCAAUUGUCAGAGGUGAAAUUCUUGGAUUUAUUGAAGACUAACUACUGCGAAAGCAUUUGCCAAGGAUGUUUUCAUUAAUCAGGAACGAAAGUUAGGGGAUCGAAGACGAUCAGAUACCGUCGUAGUCUUAACCAUAAACUAUGCCGACUAGGGAUCGGACGAUGUUAUAUUCUUGACGCGUUCGGCACCUUACGAGAAAUCAAAGUGCUUGGGCUCCAGGGGGAGUAUGGUCGCAAGGCUGAAACUUAAAGAAAU
rnacentral:rRNA from 2 species